UAUUGUAUUGAUUAUGAAAUUGAGUAAUUGGAGGCUACAAAUUGACUUGAAAAAUAUAUAUUUUCCUAGGAAUGGCUUAUAAGAAAUGAGUAUAUGUGGCUAUAUUUUGUGAAUGCGUUGGGAAAUUUAUGUAAGUUGUUUUACUAUGCAGGUUGGAUAAAUAAAUAAAAGCCACGUUAUACUGUCGAAAUUUUAUUAAAAUUGGUGGGUUAGUCACUGUAGUGACGGGUUUUCGUGGACUGCCUAUUAGAGGGGCACGGUAAACCCAAUUAUAUAGUUACUCUGGUUGUAGAGGCGAUGAGGGUAACUCCCGGGGUAGUAUUAGAGCUCACUUCACGUCGAACCCCCACGUGAAUGUG
rnacentral:lncRNA from 1 species